CUUGGUCAUUUAGAGGAAGUAAAAGUCGUAACAAGGUUUCCGUAGGUGAACCUGCGGAAGGAUCAUUCAUAAUAAGUGUUUUAUGGCACUUUUUUAAAUCCAUAUCCACCUUGUGUGCAAUGUCAGGGUUGGUCUCUUGAAAAAGAGAUCAGCCCCAAACAUCAACCCAAUCUUAACUCUUUGUCUGAAAAAUAUUAUGAAUAAAACAAUUCAAAAUACAACUUUCAACAACGGAUCCCUUGGCUCUCGCAUCGAUGAAGAACGCAGCGAAAUGCGAUACGUAACGUGAAUUGCAGAAUUCAGUGAAUCAUCGAAUCUUUGAACGCAUAUUGCGCUCUUUGGUAUUCCGAAGAGCAUGCUUGUUUGAGUAUCAGUAAACACCUCAAAGCCUUUUUUUGUUAAGAGGCCUUGGACUUGAGCAAUCCCAACACUUUUCCUCCAAGAAAAGUGGCGGGUUGCUUGAAAUGCAGGUGCAGCUGGACAUUCUCCUGAGCUAAAAGCAUAUUCAUUUAGUCCCGUCAAACGGAUUAUUACUUUUGCUGCAGCUAACAUAAAGGGAGUUUGACCAUUUUGGCUGACUGAUGCAGGAUUUUCACAAGAGUCUUCAAAAGCUUUUGUUAAACUCGAUCUCAAAUCAAGUAAGACUACCCGCUGAACUUAAGCAUAUCAAUAAGCGGAGGA
rnacentral:rRNA from 1 species